UACGUAGGGGGCGAGCGUUGUUCGGAAUUACUGGGCGUAAAGGGCUCGUAGGUGGCCAACUAAGUCAGACGUGAAAUCCCUCAGCUUAACUGGGGAACUGCGUCUGAUACUGGAUGGCUUGAGUUUGGGAGAGGGAUGCGGAAUUCCAGGUGUAGCGGUGAAAUGCGUAGAUAUCUGGAGGAACACCGGUGGCGAAGGCGGCAUCCUGGACCAACACUGACACUGAGGAGCGAAAGCCAGGGGAGCAAACGGG
rnacentral:rRNA from 1 species